rnacentral:rRNA from 1 species
AUUGAACGCUGGCGGCAGGCUUAACACAUGCAAGUCGAGCGAGCGGCGGACGGGUGAGUAAUGUCUUGGAAACUGCCUGAUGGAGGGGGAAACUACUGGAAACGAUAGCUAAUAACGCAUACCAUCACAUUUGCCCAUCUGGGAUUAGCUAGUAGGUGGGGUAAUGGCUCACCUAGGCGACGCUCCCUCGCUGGUUUGAGAGGAUGACCAGCCACACUGGAACUGAGACACGGUCCAGACUCCUACGGGAGGCAGCAGUGGGGAAUAUUGCACAAUGGGCGAAAGCCUGAUGCAGCCAUGCCGCGUGUGUGAAGAAGGCCUUCGGGUUGUAAAGCACUGUCAGCGAGGAGGCGUUACUCGCAGAAGAAGCACCGGCUAACUCCGUGCCAGCAGCCGCGGUAAUUC